UUAUUGAAAAUUGAAGGUUUCUUUUAACAAAAUUGGACAUGUAUCUCGUUUUAAAACCCCGGUUAAACCGAAUGCAAGAAAAUGCCUGGUUUCUUCUGAUGAACCGGAGACUACAGUUUCAGAUGACGACUCGUCUUCUGAUGAAUCGGGGACUAUAGUUUCAGAUGAUGAUGCUUCUUUGUGGUUGAGUGAAGAUCAAGAACAUGGGAUCAAGAUUAAGGAUGAAGGUGAAUGUUCAAGUAAAGCAGGGGAGAUUGAAAAGGGUAAAGCUGAUUUCAAAAGUGAUAAACCCUUCAUGGUUUAUAUAAAUCAAUCACAUCUUACUAAUCGCGGAGUGUAUCUACCAGCGGAGUUCAGAAAGAAGUUCUCGAGGGGUCACAAGAGCGAUCACAAAUGUUCGCUUCAACCUUGGAGUUUGGUGGAUGUGGUAAUGGUUGCAAGCUCACAACUGAAGUGUAUUUAACCAUGUUCUUUGAAAUGACAGUUCUUAAUAUAUUAGUUUGAGUUGGAACUAACUUUGUGGUUUAAAUUUGUAUUUUGUUGAAGUUAUUUGUAUGUUUUAUUGUUAAAUUCUUGAGCUUGAGUUGGAUGUCUUGAAUAAUA